rnacentral:rRNA from 1 species
GACGAACGCUGGCGGCGUGCCUAAUACAUGCAAGUUGAGCGCCGAAGGUUGGUACUUGUACCGACUGGAUGAGCAGCGAACGGGUGAGUAACGCGUGGGGAAUCUGCCUUUGAGCGGGGGACAACAUUUGGAAACGAAUGCUAAUACCGCAUAAAAACUUUAAACACAAGUUUUAAGUUUGAAAGAUGCAAUUGCAUCACUCAAAGAUGAUCCCGCGUUGUAUUAGCUAGUUGGUGAGGUAAAGGCUCACCAAGGCGAUGAUACAUAGCCGACCUGAGAGGGUGAUCGGCCACAUUGGGACUGAGACACGGCCCAAACUCCUACGGGAGGCAGCAGUAGGGAAUCUUCGGCAAUGGACGAAAGUCUGACCGAGCAACGCCGCGUGAGUGAAGAAGGUUUUCGGAUCGUAAAACUCUGUUGGUAGAGAAGAACGUUGGUGAGAGUGGAAAGCUCAUCAAGUGACGGUAACUACCCAGAAAGGGACGGCUAACUACGUG